rnacentral:rRNA from 1 species
UACAGAGGUCUCAAGCGUUGUUCGGAUUCAUUGGGCGUAAAGGGUGCGUAGGCGGCGCGGUAAGUCGGGUGUGAAAUCUCGGAGCUUAACUCCGAAACUGCAUUCGAUACUGCCGUGCUUGAGGACUGGAGAGGAGACUGGAAUUCAUGGUGUAGCAGUGAAAUGCGUAGAGAUCAUGAGAAGACCAGUGGCGAAGGCGGGUCUCUGGACAGUUCUGACACUGAGACACGAAAGGCCAGGGGAGGCAAACGGG